ACUUGAUAGAAAUAACUCACUUAAUCCUUACAAUGGCCUGAGAGCAAGAACAUUCUUCAAAAUAACACACCAAUAAGGAAGGAAAGUCCCACUUUGGCAUUUAUUUGGAGGACAGCUAAACACAUUGACUCACAAUGUGUCAUAUACAGAGGGAAUUGUGGCAUGCAAAUGACCAGUGCUUGCCCCAUCGUGCAGGAAACNUGUUGGACCU